rnacentral:rRNA from 1 species
GAUGAACGCUGGCGGCGUGCCUAAUACAUGCAAGUCGAGCGAAGCGGGGACGGGUGAGUAACACGUGGAUAACCUCCUAUAAGACUGGGAUAACUUCGGGAAACCGGAGCUAAACCGGAUACUUAUAGAUGGAUCCGCGCUGCAUUAGCUAGUUGGUAAGGUAACGGCUUACCAAGGCAACGAUGCAUAGCCGACCUGAGAGGAUGACCAGCAACACUGGAACGGAGACACGGUCCAGACUCCUACGGGAGGCAGCAGUGGGGAAUAUUGCACAAUGGGCGCAAGCCUGAUGCAGCCAUGCCGCGUGUGUGAAGAAGGCCUGCGGGUUGUAAAGCACUUUCAGCGGGGAGGCGUUACCCGCAGAAGAAGCACCGACUAACUCCGUGCCAGCAGCCGCGGUAAUUC